AACGAACGCUGGCGGCAUGCCUAACACAUGCAAGUCGAACGAACCCUUCGGGGUUAGUGGCGCACGGGUGCGUAACGCGUGGGAAUCUGCCCUUUGCUUCGGAAUAACAGUUAGAAAUGACUGCUAAUACCGGAUGAUGUCUUCGGACCAAAGAUUUAUCGGCAAGGGAUGAGCCCGCGUAGGAUUAGGUAGUUGGUGGGGUAAAGGCCUACCAAGCCGACGAUCCUUAGCUGGUCUGAGAGGAUGAUCAGCCACACUGGGACUGAGACACGGCCCAGACUCCUACGGGAGGCAGCAGUGGGGAAUAUUGGACAAUGGGCGCAAGCCUGAUCCAGCAAUGCCGCGUGAGUGAUGAAGGCCUUCGGGUCGUAAAGCUCUUUUACCAGGGAUGAUAAUGACAGUACCUGGAGAAUAAGCUCCGGCUAACUCCGUGCCAGCAGCCGCCGCAGUAA
rnacentral:rRNA from 1 species